UUUAUGGAGAGUUUGAUCCUGGCUCAGGAUGAACGCUGGCGGCGUGCCUAAUACAUGCAAGUCGAGCGAACGGACGAGAAGCUUGCUUCUCUGAUGUUAGCGGCGGACGGGUGAGUAACACGUGGAUAACCUACCUAUAAGACUGGGAUAACUUCGGGAAACCGGAGCUAAUACCGGAUAAUAUUUUGAACCGCAUGGUUCAAAAGUGAAAGACGGUCUUGCUGUCACUUAUAGAUGGAUCCGCGCGCAUUAGCUAGUUGGUAAGGUAACGGCUUACCAAGGCAACGAUGCAUAGCCGACCUGAGAGGGUGAUCGGCCACACUGGAACUGAGACACGGUCCAGACUCCUACGGGAGGCAGCAGUAGGGAAUCUUCCGCAAUGGGCGAAAGCCUGACGGAGCAACGCCGCGUGAGUGAUGAAGGUCUUCGGAUCGUAAAACUCUGUUAUUAGGGAAGAACAUAUGUGUAAGUAACUGUGCACAUCUUGACGGUACCUAAUCAGAAAGCCACGGCUAACUACGUGCCAGCGUACGCGGUAAUACGUAGGUGGCAAGCGUUAUCCGGAAUUAUUGGGCGUAAAGCGCGCGUAGGCGGUUUUUUAAGUCUGAUGUGAAAGCCCACGGCUCAACCGUGGAGGGUCAUUGGAAACUGGAAAACUUGAGUGCAGAAGAGGAAAGUGGAAUUCCAUGUGUAGCGGUGAAAUGCGCAGAGAUAUGGAGGAACACCAGUGGCGAAGGCGACUUUCUGGUCUGUAACUGACGCUGAUGUGCGAAAGCGUGGGGAUCAAACAGGAUUAGAUACCCUGGUAGUCCACGCCGUAAACGAUGAGUGCUAAGUGUUAGGGGGUUUCCGCCCCUUAGUGCUGCAGCUAACGCAUUAAGCACUCCGCCUGGGGAGUACGACCGCAAGGUUGAAACUCAAAGGAAUUGACGGGGACCCGCACAAGCGGUGGAGCAUGUGGUUUAAUUCGAAGCAACGCGAAGAACCUUACCAAAUCUUGACAUCCUUUGACAACUCUAGAGAUAGAGCCUUCCCCUUCGGGGGACAAAGUGACAGGUGGUGCAUGGUUGUCGUCAGCUCGUGUCGUGAGAUGUUGGGUUAAGUCCCGCAACGAGCGCAACCCUUAAGCUUAGUUGCCAUCAUUAAGUUGGGCACUCUAAGUUGACUGCCGGUGACAAACCGGAGGAAGGUGGGGAUGACGUCAAAUCAUCAUGCCCCUUAUGAUUUGGGCUACACACGUGCUACAAUGGACAAUACAAAGGGCAGCGAAACCGUGAGGUCAAGCAAAUCCCAUAAAGUUGUUCUCAGUUCGGAUUGUAGUCUGCAACUCGACUACAUGAAGCUGGAAUCGCUAGUAAUCGUAGAUCAGCAUGCUACGGUGAAUACGUUCCCGGGUCUUGUACACACCGCCCGUCACACCACGAGAGUUUGUAACACCCGAAGCCGGUGGAGUAACCUUUUAGGAGCUAGCCGUCGAAGGUGGGACAAAUGAUUGGGGUGAAGUCGUAACAAGGUAGCCGUAUCGGAAGGUGCGGCUGGAUCACCUCCUUU
rnacentral:rRNA from 1 species